UGGAGCCAUCAGAGCCAGCCCAGUUCAGAGAAGUGACGCUGCCUUUCUCCUGGCCAGGUCCUCCUCCUGACGGUUCGGCGCCUCCUCCUGUCCCCUCGCACCGAGACCCGCUCCUCCACCCGGAGAUGAUGCGCAGCUCCCAGCGACAGCAGGACAUCCUGAGGGGCCUGGCUCAGCUUCGGCAGGGUCUGUUACGGAAGCAGAGGGAGCUGGAGACGGACCUGAAUCCUCUCAGGAGUCGCCACGACAACGAGCAGCGUGCCGCCCCCACGGCUCGCCGCACAUGACGCCGCCGGUGACCCGCCGGACCGCGGCAGGAGGCGUGGAGGCGCUAACGAACAGAACCUAAAUGCAGUUUUUAAAUCAGCUUCCUGCCUGUUUGCAGUCUGUCGUGAAGGUAAAAGCAAAGCAGCGUUUUGAAUUAACAAUCAGAAUCAGAACUUCACCGCUUUUCGGAUCAUGGGUGCGUAGACGAGACUCGGGAGCUUCCUCCAUCAGACACCGACCCGUCUCCAGAACGGCUCCAGCUCAGGUUUCUCUUAACCCGCCGGCACCAGAACGCUGCUGGACCGGUUUGGUUCCUGCUGAACGACCAGCGCCAAGUUCCUAAAUGUGCAGUUUAGAUUUUAUUUAUUGGAAAUGUAAUAAAUUAUGUGGUUUGUUGAUGCCUGAUUAAAUUAAAGUUGUUUUUCUUUUUUUCUGUGA